AGCCAAGUGUUGGCUCAGUGGUCAGAGUGCUGGACUAGGACCCAGAAAAGUUGUUGUUUAGUCGUUUAGUCAUGUCCAACUCUUCGUGACCCCAUGGACCAGAGCACGCCAGGCACUCCUGUCUUCCACUGCCUCACGCAGUUUGGUCAAACUCAUGCUGGUAGCUUCGAGAACACUAUCCAACCAUCUCGUCCUCUGUCGUCCCCUUCUCCUUGGGCCCUCCAUCUUUCCCAACAUCAGGGUCUUUUCCAGGGAGUCUUCUCUUCUCAUGAGGUGGCCAAAGUAUUGGAGCCUCAGCUUCAGGAUCUGUCCUUCCAGUGAGCACUCAGGGCUGAUUUCCUUAAGAAUGGAUAUGUUUCAUCUUCUUGCAGUCUGUGGGACUCUCAAGAGACCCAGAAGAGACCAGGGUUCAAAUCCCCACUUGGCCA